rnacentral:rRNA from 1 species
GAUGAACGCUAGCUACAGGCUUAACACAUGCAAGUCGAGGGGAAACGACAUCGCAAGCUUGCUUUUGAUGGGCGUCGACCGGCGCACGGGUGAGUAACGCGUAUCCAACCUGCCCAUCACUUGGGGAUAACCUUGCGAAAGUAAGACUAAUACCCAAUGAUAUCUCUAGAAGACAUCUGAAAGAGAUUAAAGAUUUAUCGGUGAUGGAUGGGGAUGCGUCUGAUUAGCUUGUUGGCGGGGUAACGGCCCACCAAGGCAACGAUCAGUAGGGGUUCUGAGAGGAAGGUCCCCCACAUUGGAACUGAGACACGGUCCAAACUCCUACGGGAGGCAGCAGUGAGGAAUAUUGGUCAAUGGGCGAGAGCCUGAACCAGCCAAGUAGCGUGCAGGAAGACGGCCCUAUGGGUUGUAAACUGCUUUUAUAAGGGAAUAAAGUGAGAGUCGUGACUCUUUUUGUAUGUACCUGAUGAAUAAGGACCGGCUAAUUCCGUG